UGUUGCAGCCUACGCGGAAUAAAGAAUUGUUGCCGCCUAUACCUUAUUUUCCACCCCUGUGCUCAUAGCUUUUACAAACACUCAAAAAUUCAACAGGAAUUUUCAAUGUUAACAAUUAUUUUUCAGGUAACUUUCACGCAAUCUUUGUAUUUUUUAUUAAUUUGAUUAAACCACGCCGAGUUAGCAAAGAGAAAAUGUUCAUAGAAUUUCUUUAUUUGAAAAUGUAAAUAUUAGGCAUGUUAAAUGUUGACUGGUCAUUUUCAAUUCCAAUACACGAGGGAAAAAUGAUUUGGGUAACGGCCACGCAAACUUUUAUUGUUGAUAACUCCCACGCAAUAUUUUAUGUGCAAGCAAUAUCUAUGCAGGCUAUAGCCUAGAUAUUGAUUUAACAAAAUCAUGAUCGAUGUAUUUAGCCUUAAACGUUCAUAGAAUUUUGAAUAAUAUUUAAAAUACCGCCAAAAGGUCCUGGAUAGAAUUAAGCGCCUAUGGGUAGCAGAAUACAUACUCACGUAAAUAUAUUAAAUGAAGUUUCGAUAUAAAGAUAUAGAUGAAUUAAUCGCAGAAAUUGAAAUAAAAGUCUCAAAUAUAAGAAGGAGGUCGAUUUCAGUUUAAGCACAAUUACAGUUGUCAUUUUUCAUAGUUUGCAGAUAUGGACGGUUGCAGCUCGGAUAUUGUUUGUGGAUAAUGUUGGAAAACAUUUCGUUCAUGGACAGGUCUUAAUGACCAUUUAAACUGGCUACUCGGCACAGGACCUUGUAAACGUUGUUGCAAAUCGAACUGUCACAGAUCCUGGUCCUGGCUGAAAUUGAGAGUAUUGCAGCUGUAGUUUGUAUACCAUACAUUUCACAUGAAAAGGACUGUCAGGAUGCUGCAUACAAUGGUCUUAGCUAGAGCCUAGAAUGAAUAUUUCUUAGGAAUAUGCUGCAAGUAACUGAAGGGGAGCAGUGUUUCUUACCUAUCAUAGAAGCAGUAAGAGACAGCCAACGAAGUAUUCAAACACCAUAUGAAACACUUAAGACAUACCAGGAGAGAUCUAGAAGAAGUACUAGUAGUAGAGUGGAACAGAUUGUAGCUUAAUUCUAGCUAAAAAGACUU